AAGUCGUAACAAGGUCUCCGUUGGUGAACCAGCGGAGGGAUCAUUACCGAGUUUCUACUCUAAACCCUGCGAACCUACCAUUACGUGCUUCGGCGGCCAGCCCCGGGGGGGCGACCUACGGCCGCCGAUAGUACCCAAAAAAUCACUUUUCAGAGUCUUCUGAGUGACAAAAAAAACAAGUCAAAACCUUCAACAACGGAUCUCUUGGUUCUG
rnacentral:misc_RNA from 1 species